AGCCAAUGAUGAAUUCUAUAUUAUUUUCUGACACCUCGUAUGAAAACUGCUUGCAGUUGGUGAUUUCAGACAUGAACUGAGGCUU